rnacentral:lncRNA from 1 species
AGUUGAGUCCCAGGCUCCUCUAGCUGCAGGUGAAAGGAGCUUUAGCAAGUCACACUCCCCAUAAUAGGAAGUGAGUGUUUCUGACCCCGUGGGAUUAUUGUGAGUCCUAGAUGAAAUAGUGCAUGUAAAGAUGCCAGGCAGGCUUAGGCACUCCAUUUCUUGAGUCUAGUAUUUAUACCACUUCCACUUUAUAAAUAGAAAACUGAGGGCACAGAGACAAAUGAUGUACGAAACUCACAGAUUUAAUGCUAAUAGGCAUCGUGCUGAGCCCUGGGUUGCUACUUUCUAUAGAGGGGAGUGUGUGUGUGCUGCAGGACUGGCCUUUGGGAGGACAGAGGAACUUGGCGUUGGUCUAGAACAUGAUCUCUUCGCCAGCCUUAGGUGCCUUCACACACAGGUGCUCAAUUCAGGUUUGUUUUUUGAGUUCAAUUAUGUGUCACAAAUCCCAGAUAAGAGGAAGUGGAGUGAAAAAGCACCAAAAAGCAAGGCCUUUCCAAGAAAGGACAGUGAAAAAAGAUUCUGCUGCCUCUGCUCGCAGGUUCCCUUUAAGUAAGCGAGGCUUGAUGACCUAUAUAUUGAAAAAAGAAGAAUCGAAACACAAUAGGACCAGAUCUGUACUUGUGAGAAAGCUCGCUCCGCUGCCUUCCCGCUUCCUCGCUCACACAUACACACUGUAGCUGAAAACACGUGCUUGAUUUUUUUUCUUUUUUUUUUUUUUAACCAGACAAGCCUGGGUUUGAAUCCUGUCAGGCCGCAGGAGCUUGGACAAGCUCUGAGAGGCUUACAAUGGCAGAAGAUGGAUGGAUAAAUAGUUAUUGGGUGCUUUCUAUGUGCAGACAUUGGAGAUACAGCUGUCAGCCAGGAGGGGAAGCCCCUACCCUGAUGGAGCUGCAGCUUGGUAAAGGAGAUACGUCAAUCAAAGAUCACAAGCAACUGUAUUCAGUGCUGGGUGUGGGGAUGGAGAAGUCCAUGGUGCCCUGAGAGCAUGUCAAUGGGGACGUUGGGGAGUUUCCCUCAGGAAGGAAUGCUUGAGCUAUGAUCUGAAGGAAGAGGAUUUAACUAGGCGAAGAGGAGGGGGCAGCUAUCCAGGCAGAUGGACAGCAGGUACAAAAGCCCUAUGGUGGGAGGGGAACUCUGAGUAGGCCAGUGUGACAGCAGCACGGAGAGCAAGAGCAGUGAGCAUAGUGGGAGCAGAAAGUAGGGAGAGAAUUAUGUGGAUCUUGCAGGUUAUGAUAAAGGUUUGGCUCUUUAUUCGAAGACCAAUGAGAGGCCAUUGAAAAGUUUU